UACGGGGGGGGUAAGCGUUGUUCGGAAUUACUGGGCGUAAAGGGCUCGUAGGCGGCCAACUAAGUCAGACGUGAAAUCCCUCAGCUUAACUGGGGAACUGCGUCCGAUACUGGAUGGCUUGAGUUUGGGAGAGGGAUGCGGAAUUCCAGGUGUAGCGGUGAAAUGCGUAGAUAUCGGGAGGAACACCGGUGGCGAAGGCGGCCUUCUGGACAGUGACUGACGCUGAGACGCGAAAGCGUGGGGAGCAAACAGG
rnacentral:rRNA from 1 species